UACAGAGGGUGCGAGCGUUAAUCGGAAUUACUGGGCGUAAAGCGCAUGUAGGUGGUUUGGUAAGUUGGCUGUGAAAGCCCUGGGCUCAACCUGGGAACUGCAUUCAAAACUCUCAAACUAGAGUAGAGUAGAGGGAAGUGGAAUUUCCGGUGUAGCGGUGAAAUGCGUAGAUAUCGGAAGGAACACCAGUGGCGAAGGCGGCUUCCUGGACUCAUACUGACACUGAGGUGCGAAAGCGUGGGGAGCAAACAGG
rnacentral:misc_RNA from 1 species